CGCGGCGCCGUUCGUGCCAACUGCCGCGCACGCGCGGGACGCCGCACGCGCGGGGACCCGCCAUGGCGCCGGCCGCGAGGGUCGACGGGAGGUGUAGUUCCCUGCCGGACUCCCAGGGCGGGGGCGUGAGUGAGCAGCUGGCGUUAGGAAGAAGAGAGUAGGAGGAAGGGCCAAGGAUCUGCCGAAAGCCUGGACCUGAGCUGCCACUGCUGCCGCCCUCGAAAACUUCCGGCCCUGGGUGGGGUGUGCAGGUGCUUGAGUCUCGGCGCACGUCUGGGUGUCCGUGACUUGCAGCAGCCCGGGGACCUGGAGGCGCCCGCCGAGGCCCCCGGCUUAGUAGCGAGCUCUGACCAGUCUCGGGGUGCACUGGGGGCGGCCCCAACCCCGGAAACCUUGACGGGCGUGGGAUAGUGGAGUGCGCCCUUUUGCCGGCAUAGUCUGGCCAGAGCUCCCACGGGGCACCCAGAGAGGCUCAGGGACCCGGGAUUCGGGGUGCCCAAGGCGAUGGAAAGGAAAGGGGAAGACCCCCUCCCACUCCCGGUAUCUCUGUGUGUCUGUGUCUCCUUCCAGUCUCUUUCUGUCCUUCUGUCUGACCGUCUCUCCGUCUUUUUCUGUCUCUGUCUCUCCUUGUCUUUUUCUCUGUCCCUCACUUGAUCCACAUAAUCAGCGACAUGCAGCCCUCAUGAAGAUAUCAACGAAAAUAUUUUAAGAUACUUUUUAUGGAAACAAGUAAGCAAGCACCUUUUUUUUCUUUCUCACUUUAAUUUUAAUUUUAAAGAAUUAUAAAAUCCUUCUUAUCUGAACAUUGCUUAGUGCUCCAAAUGAGUCAUCCUGGAAAUUGACAGCUUCUAGCAACUGAGGUCACCUAUCUGUAGGGGAUCAGGAUUCAUGCUAUGGAUUGGAGGAGCAGUACGGGCUAGGCCAAGGGGGUGAAGUGACUUGCCCAGGGUCACACAGCUGGGAAGUAUCUGAGACCAGAUUGGAACCUAGGACCUUUGUCUCCAGGCCUGGCUUUCCAUCCACUGAGCCCCACAGCAGAGUUCUUAAAGAACAUCUAGUUCAAGCCUCUCCUUUUACAGAGGAAACUGGAGUUUGAAGCCUCUUGACUUCCCCACCCCCAGGGCCGGCCUCCUGUCCAGGAUAAGCUGGUCCAUGUGGAGCAGGAGGGACCUCCCCACUCACCAAGGAGGCCAUCACAGGGGGCGGGGAGCAUCCGAGCCAGGGAGCAAUGUGAGCACUUACUUAACCUGUUCACUGCUCAUUAGAGAAUCAGCAAAGGAUUGUGUUUGGGGGAAUAAAGGCGGACGAUUCCACACGCCAAAAA